ensembl:lncRNA novel transcript
ACGGGAUAGUCCCCCGAUUCUAGGAACUGGCAGGGGGAAGCAAGCCUAAAGAAACAUCUAGUGAAGCUUCAGAGAGCCGUGCUGAGAACAGGAGUCCCUGCGAGGCCCGGGAUGAAGAUCUUCUCUCUGGAUCCGGAAGAAUCAUAAUAUUUAUCAACUCUGUAAACUCUCGGGAAAGCACUUGUGCUAGCAAGGUAACCUGGCCUUUGUGAAUUCAUGCACUAGUCUCCAUUUCUGGGAAGAGCUUCAGCACCAGCAGCACAUACCACUGUGAGGGCAAGUGAAAAAGUAUCACUUUGGGUAGAUGGAUAUAAUCCUCCCGUAAAGCUUCAUUUGCAAGAAAACCACUAUCACCCUUUUCCACCUGUGGAAUAAAGAUCCUUCUUACAUGUCCAAGA